rnacentral:miRNA from 1 species
UGAGGCAGGAGAAUUGCUUGAACCCAGGAAGUGGAGGUUGCAGUGAGCCGAGAUCACGCCACUGCACUCCAGCCUGGGUGACAGAGCAAGACUC